rnacentral:lncRNA from 1 species
AGCGAUCGGCUAGUGACUCUAGCUCCCGUUUAUUUUAAAACGUGAUUCUUUUGUCUGCGACGCCUUUUUUUUGCUUGUUUUUGGGGAUUCUAUUGUGUUUUAAUUAUAUGUUUCUGUUCCGCCCGAUCGUUUUCGUUUUGCCUUGGUUUCUUGUACCUUGAUGUGAUGAAAUAAAGAGCAAAAGCCGUCCUUCCUCAUAUAAAACGGCGAAAAUGUAUGGAAGUUGUACGAGGGGCACUACAGACAAGCGCUUCUACAUAUAUGGGCCGUCGAAUGACGCUUGCAAUUUCGGUUACAUUACGAUGCGUCAUAGUGAAAAAAGAAAACAAAAGACACCAGUGCUUGAAAGCAACUUAAUGACUACAACCGCGAAUUCUGCUUCAGCGAGAUAAAACAGACGUGUAAAGAAAUACCCGCUUAAAUUCAAGCAAUUCAAGGUUGAUUCAAGGUAAAUUCAAGCGUAUUCGCAAGUGAGUCGUGAAAACUAAAAAGGUGGCAGAAUGCGAUGCAGUCGAAGAAACGGCAUAUGGGAACUCAGUGGAUGCUCUCUUAUUCUGUUUGCCAAGCGUCUGGCCCGUCUAGUGCACCGGUUUCUUCAAAGAAGUCGGUGUAUACCGCCAGCCUUCGUUUUUAGAGAUCGCACUCAAUGCCAUGUAUAAGUGUCCUGUGCCCGAGUCGGUGUAAUUGCUGUCAUUUACCGUGCUUGUAUUGCCGUCAGCAGAGUGCAAGAAAGAGAGUACCGAAAUGUACCCCAAAACAUUUAUUUCAAGUUCGGAAAUGUACGGCGUAAUGUACAUAAACUGGUCCAGCUAGGGGCUUGUUUCUACCACGUGAGCGUCGUCACUCUCGGGUCGCAGCUACGCAAAUAAGUUGGUAGUGCGCCGCAUGUGUGAACGACGUACAUAGUUUCGGUUUCCGCGUAGCAGCAAGUAUUGCCGCUGCACAGGAAUGAAGUCAACUCUGUGCCGUUGGCUAAGUGCAAGUGCCAAAGCCUAGACAUGUAUACUAACAAUCUCCUUCGCUUCUAGCGAAGUACGUUAUGCAAUGCAACGAAGCUUGAACCCUAUUUUCGUCGACCAAGCUUUACAUGUAGACUACUUGGCUGUUACUAUCCGCCUGGGCGGAGACGUAGAGGCAUACUACACACGCUGAUUGGCCGCUCGACCAGCUCUGAGACUGAAAUAUACUGGCCAAUCACGAGCACGCCAGCAAAAGAAGUCUGAAGCGUGUACGCUCUUCAAAAUGCAUGCAACUCUCGAGUGGUGUGAUCGACAGACGUUUUAUACCGUUCGUUAAAAUAAACGAUGCUUAUAAGCACGUCUGUAUGCGUGAACGUAGGUGUAGGCUUUGGCCGCAAUACAGAGGGCGCCUCAAUGACUCUGUGCAUCCCAGCAGGCCACGCGAUGCCGUUUUAAGCAUCGUCUUGUCCACUACCUUAUAGCCUUUGUACAGUUCGUAGCAAGAAUUUUGUCCGGGACAUCUCAGAUCGAUCUGUAUAGCGUGGCUCUGCUUUCUUACGCAUAAACGGCGGUCCUGUCACUGCAUGCGCACACGAUACCAAUCAUGUUUGGUGUACAGCAAGUAAGGCGCGACGGCAAGAUACAUCGCCUCUUAAGUCAAGAUGCAUUGCCUCGUAGCAACGCCUCACUAACAUCUACGCCGCAGUGAUAUAGCAAGCCAUCCAGGGUCCUUCAAGACUUCGCCUAUGCCACCGAGAAUCCUGCUAGUGUGUUUAGGGCGUUUUUGCCCCUUGAGCGACUUCUUUCGGACUUAAGGAGCCUCCUCGAGAAACUAAAUACUCUCGAAGACAGCGUCUCCUCAUUUUCGGGCGCAUUAGCCUCGAAGUGUCUAUACGAGUUUGAAAACCUCAACGACACCGUCCCUCCGUCACGGGCUUGAGCUCCCUUUCGAUUACGAUGGUGUAAAUGGUCGCCUAAACACUUCUUUACGCCCUUCCCCUAAGCAUUGCUGAACCUAGUGUGUAGACAAAAAAAGAAUAAAACGGACAUGCCGGAGCGAAAUAGGGACCAGAUAAAAUUAAAAAAAAAAAUGUUGUGUCUCCUUUCUCUUAAGCUAUAGGCAGGAGUUGUUAGAGCAGCGCGAUGUACACAGCUGACGCAUAACGGUUAGAUGGGUCUCUCGUAUUCCUCUCACAACGCACAAUGUGAAUGAACGUUCACGUUGGCGAUCAACGCAAUGGACGUUCGCACCUUUUUUUUUCAAUGAAAUAAAAAUAAGCGAGUUGUCACCGUUACUUGGCGACGGCUACCCCUUUCUACUUGGUUGUUAAGUAAAAAUAAAGUUUGCGAAAGGGAAAAAAUAUAUAUACACAUACACAGUUCUGCAUCUAUGCUUCUGGCUGGAAGAAAGUUCAAGCGUACUUUGUACAGCACUUGUGACUUUUCACUGUACAGAUUGCUUAUAGCAUUGAGCUUGUCAGAACUUUCCACCGAGGCGGACGCUUCCGCCAGCCGUGAAUGUUCAGAUUCGAAAACGAAGGCUUCAAACUUAGUGCAACUAGUAGAAUUUUGCAGUGUAACAGUGUCCUUGCACUUAAAAGGUUGGGCAAAAAUAUCUUGACAUAUUACCCUUUUAGGUUCACUGGUAUUCGAACGACGAACCACCAACUUCAACGCGAUUUGACUUGUUCCUGACGUCACAGCAAGGCUUUGGAGCAUUAUUAGCGACGACGGCGUUGCAAACUUUAUCGCAAAGGCUAGCAAAUCAAUCUACGUUAUCAUAGUUUUCAACGACUUCAGUAAAGUCGAUGCAUCUCGGGGACACUUGAUUCAUUUGUUGCUUCUAAUCAUCCAUGAUCCAUCACAGAUUUUUAGAGGUAACGUGAUUCCUAAAGACUGAAAUGUAGAUCCUUCUCGCUUACUACAAAUGAUGCUUUAUUCACCGAUCGAAAACAUCUUUAUUCGCACAGCACCUUCUAAUAGCAUGUGUGUGGUCUGCGAAAUAGUUGAACAGGGAAUCUUGCAGGGGCCAGCGUUUUGACAGGUAUGCACUCUUGGAAACAUCAGCUGCAGGGACAUUCCCUGUUCGAACUGUAUCGCAUCACCUCAAGACUCUUUACUCUCGAACGUUUAUUUUGCUUGUCUUAAUACAAAAUGGCGGCUCUGGAAUGAUACGCGAAAUACGUGACAGUUACGUUCUACGGUCAAUAUAAUAUCGCUGUUGUUUGGUUUUUCAUUGUGAACACUGAAGUUGUGUAAACUUGUAAAACUUGUGCUUCAUGAUCAAUGUCCUUUUGUUGUUGUUUUUUUUGUUAGUGUUUUUGCUGCAUACAGAUUUUUAAAUUUUUAAUGCGCCAAUAUGUCUGUGGUAACACGGGAUGUUGCAAUCUCACAUGCAUGUAUAUAAAAUAAAUUACGGCCGGCUUGUAGUACGCUUUGUGAAUGCGUGCGUGUAAGAGUGCUUCCAAGCCUUUGCUAUUGUAAAAAAAAAAAAAAAGAAACGUGGAAAGUUCCUUUACUAUUGUGAACGCCGCGCGAGGCCACAUUUCUUGAGUGAUUCACGCGGUUAUUGCACUGUUAGUCGGCUAGCUGUUUCUUUAGCUAUCACCGCUCAAGUGACCUCGCCAAAAAAAGAUGAUGCACCCUCUUAAUGCUGUUACCACUGGUUAUUAUGUGAAAUAAACUUCCUUCAACUAUU